GUGCCAGCCGCCGCGGUAAUACGUAGGUGGCAAGCGUUGUCCGGAUUUACUGGGCGUAAAGCGCGUGCAGGCGGUUUGUUAAGUGCAGGGUGAAAGCUCCCGGCUCAACUGGGAGAGGUCCUUGCAUACUGGCAGACUUGAGGGGGGUAGAGGAGAGUGGAAUUCCCGGUGUAGUGGUGAUAUGCGUAGAUAUCGGGAGGAACACCAGUGGCGAAGGCGGCUCUCUGGGCCCUACCUGACGCUGAGACGCGAAAGCGUGGGGAGCGAACCGGAUUAGAUACCCGCGUAGUCC
rnacentral:rRNA from 1 species